GUGAAUAUAGUUUAUAAAAACAUCAGACUGUGAAUCUGAAAUCAAGAGGCACACCUCUUUAUUCACC
rnacentral:tRNA from 1 species